AUUGAACGCUGGCGGCAUGCCUUACACAUGCAAGUCGAACGGUAACAGGUCUUCGGAUGCCGACGAGUGGCGAACGGGUGAGUAAUACAUCGGAACGUGCCUAGUAGUGGGGGAUAACUACUGGAAAGAGUGGCUAAUACCGCAUGAGAUCUACGGAUGAAAGCAGGGGAUCGCAAGACCUUGUGCUACUAGAGCGGCCGAUGGCAGAUUAGGUAGUUGGUGGGAUAAAAGCUUACCAAGCCGACGAUCUGUAGCUGGUCUGAGAGGACGAUCAGCCACACUGGGACUGAGACACGGCCCAGACUCCUACGGGAGGCAGCAGUGGGGAAUUUUGGACAAUGGGCGAAAGCCUGAUCCAGCAAUGCCGCGUGCAGGAUGAAGGCCUUCGGGUUGUAAACUGCUUUUGUACGGAACGAAAAGCCCCGGGUUAAUACCCUGGGGUCAUGACGGUACCGUAAGAAUAAGCACCGGCUAACUACGUGCCAGCCGCCGCAGUAA
rnacentral:rRNA from 1 species